rnacentral:rRNA from 1 species
AGAGCGAACGCUGGCGGCAGGCCUAACACAUGCAAGUCGAGCGCCCCGCAAGGGGAGCGGCAGACGGGAGAGUAACACGUGGGAACGUACCCUUUGGUUCGGAACAACACAGGGAAACUUGUGCUAAUACCGGAUAAGCCCUUACGGGGAAAGAUUUAUCGCCAAAGGAUCGGCCCGCGUCUGAUUAGCUUGUUGGUGAGGUAACGGCUCACCAAGGCUACGAUCAGUAGCUGGUCUGAGAGGAUGAUCAGCCUCACUGGGACUGAGACACGGCCCAGACUCCUACGGGAGGCAGCAGUGGGGAAUAUUGGACAAUGGGCGCAAGCCUGAUCCAGCCAUGCCGCGUGGACGAUGAAGGCCCUAGGGUUGUAAAGUCCUUUUAACGGGAAGAUAAUGACGGUACCCGUAGAAUAAGCCCGGCUAACUUCGUGCCAGCAGCCGC